GCGGGGGGCCACGGAGCAUGGUGCGGCGCGGCCCGCGAGGGGCGACGUGCGGGCCGGGGUCGCAACUUCCGGCUCCGGCGGGCAGGGGGCGGGUCCGGACGGCGCUUCCGGCCUGCGCCCCCAGGAUUCGCCGCGCGGCGCGGGCGCGCGGGCGGGGAGCGCCGAGGGGCUCGGGACGCCUGUGGCUCCGGUGGCCCCGGGACGGCCGCUCGCGGAGCUUCGGAGACCUGUGGCUGAGGGGCAGCCGGCGUCGGCUUGGCCUCCGGCGUGGGCGAGCUUCCGCGUAGCAGGCGCCUCCCAGGAUGACUCGAGGGCGCCCCCGCUCUUUGAAUUUCUACGGCGGGAAUGCGUCGGGACUGAGCCCGAGUCUCCCGAGGCUGACUCGUGCCCCCGCCCCGCCCAUCUGCGUGUCUGAAAACGUCGUGUUUGAACCACCCACGGCCAGGGCACCUGAGGCGGUUGUUCAAAAAUGUAGCUCCUCGGGCCCCGCCCCGGCGUGCCUCCAGAAGUCCCAGGCUCUUCUCGGGUUGCAGUCUGAAAUUAGCACACGGCGAGGCGCAAGGGGGACCCGAAAGGGGCUCUGUCCUGCCGGAAGUCUAAUUCCCGAGCCUUUGGUGGUAUCGGGACCUGGGCCAGAGGAGGUGACCUCAGCCAGGCAGCACCCCGGGAUUGUGCUCGUUGAUACCAGAGGCUUACAGAGCGGAGACACAGCGACCGUCAUCUCCUGGGCGCACUGAGUCACAGCCCAGCAGGUUGACUGCGUUACUAAGUGUGAGCUAACCUGCUAUAUGGAGCAAACUCUGCGCCCAUGUAAUUACAUACUCCAGUCAGCGGCUGGGUUUGUUCAUACGUUCUUGCUCAGAAUCUUUGCUCCAAGAAAAAGGCGGAAAUGAUAAAUCGGAACCACACUUUGGUUUCUCCACUUGAACACCAUUUCGUGCGCCAGUUGGGAAAAGAGUAAAGAUUGAAGAAGUCCUACGGUGAUGAAAAUUGAAGGAAAUUUGGAUCCUGUUUUUGUAAGGUCGCGUUUCUUUCAAAGACGCUAGCUACCACGCUGCCCCUGUAGAAACAGCCAAAAGAAGAAGGGACCAUAUGUAUGGAUGGGGCUGGUACGAUCCAUGCUUCAACAGCAGUCCCUUCAACCUUGCUUGAAUGUGGAGGUUCGAUAGACCACCAGACUCCAGAGAUAAACUACCUUGGCUUGAAAGGAACGCUAUCAUCACUGAUAGCUGACCACUAUGUUUCUCGCCAGCAUAUGAAAGCUACGCUGAAUUGUUUAACAACGUUGUGUUUCAACUGAUGAGUAGAAAACUUCACUGAACCGUGCACAAUAAUGGAGAUUGGACUGAUGGUUCGCAAAGACGAAAGAGAUGGACAGCACAGAGAUGCCAAUAAUUUUAAAUAUAAUCUUAAAAAAAACUUCAUUCUUAAAGUGAGUGAGAACAGUAUACAUAAGGAAGAGGCAACUGCCCUGGUCAUUGUCACACCCAGAUGUGAUGACGGGACCUGCCGCGGGCAUCUUGCAAGCAGACAGGAGGCAGCUUGCAGACAAGACCAACACAGCAAGAUGACACGGCUGAAUGUGGACCUGAGUCCUUCGUGAUACUGUGGAGCUGAUCAAGUAACCCAGGAGUGUGCUUACCGUGGGCUUCCUGGCGUCUAAGGCAUCCUGGGAAGGACAGUCGCGGCCACCAUCCUCCACCUAAGCGAAAUGACGAGGGCGAUUGGAACUGGCUUUGUGGACAGCCCGUGUGCUGGGACUCACCUAUGAGAAAGGCAUUUCAGCCUGUUCUGUUAAAAUCGGCACACGAUAAAAUUGGCUUUUUGUGUACACAGUCCUGUGAAUUCUGGCAUCUAUACAGAUUGGUGUACCCACCAACAAGAUCAAGGUAAGAAACAGUUCCACCCUCCCCAAACACUGCCUUUGCCAUUCCUGUGUCGUGCGUCCUGCCCUCACCCCCAAAGUCCUGGCAGCCGGGACUCCACGCUCUGAAGCUGUUCUCCGUGCUUACAGUUUUGUCUUUUCAGGAACAUUUCAAAGAAAUGGAAUCAUCAGUCAUGCGUUGAUCUUUGGGGACUGGUUUCUUUUGC